UGAAGGUGUCACAUCCCUUGGAACUGGAGUUACAGACAGCUGUGAGCUGCCCUGUGGGUGCUGGGAAUUGAACCUCGGUUCCCUGGAAGAGCAGCCAGAGCUCUUAGCCACUGAGCCACCUCUCCAGAGAAUCUCUUAAACCUACAACAAGGACUAUAGAGCCUGGAUUAAUUGGAAAAGUAUGUGACCUGGUCAUGAGGAUGCUAAGGAACUCAAAGGAGAAAUAAACAGAGCUACGAUCCAUGAAGAAGAUGCCGAUGAAUUUGGAUAUCAGAACCUCCUUCAGGAGGCUGGAAGGGAGCAGGAGGAGAGGCCGAGGAUCAAACAGCAGCUGUGCAGGAGUUAUGUACGGCUCACUCGGCUGCAGAAGGAGUCUGCAGCCGUCUAGGCCAGCUGUGCUCCUGAUCAGGGAAAGAAGAAGAGAGGAAACUUGAGAGCAGCCAGAAACACAGCAGGGAUCCUCAUGUCGGAAGGACAGAGAAAGGGCAUUAAAAAAAAUUCUGAGUCAAGGUGGUACAUGCCUGUAACCCCAAGCACUUUAGAGCCAGAGGCAGGAGGAUUGCCACAAGUCUGAAGCUAAUCUGGUCUAUGAAUGAGUUCCAACACAACAUAGCA